rnacentral:tRNA from 1 species
GGGCUACAGCUCUGUGGUAGAGCAUCUGCCUUGCAAGCUGAAGGUCCCAGGUUCAAUCCCUGGCAUCUCCA